rnacentral:tRNA from 1 species
GGAGAGUUGGCAGAGCGGUCUAAUGCGGCGGUCUUGAAAACCGUUGUCCUGCAAGGGACCGGGGGUUCGAAUCCCUCACUCUCCG